rnacentral:rRNA from 1 species
GGACCUCUUGCUAAUAGAUGAGCCUAGGUCGGAUUAGCUGGUUGGUGAGGUAAAGGCUCACCAAGGCGACGAUCUGUAGCUGGUCUGAGAGGAUGGCCAGCCACACUGGAACUGAGACACGGUCCAGACUCCUACGGGAGGCAGCAGUGGGGAAUAUUGGACAAUGGGCGCAAGCCUGAUCCAGCCAUGCCGCGUGUGUGAAGAAGGCCCUCGGGUUGUAAAGCACUUUAAGCGAGGAGGAAGGUCAUCAUACUAAUAUUAUGAUGAAUUGACGUUACUCGCAGAAUAAGCACCGGCUAACUCUGUGCCAGCAGCCGCGGUAAUACAGAGGGUGCAAGCGUUAAUCGGAAUUACUGGGCGUAAAGCGCGCGUAGGCGGUUUGUUAAGUCGGAUGUGAAAUCCCUGGCUCAACCUAGGCACUGCAUCCGAUACUGGCUGACUAGAGUGUGGGAGAGGAAGGUAGAAUUCCAGGUGUAGCGGUG